rnacentral:lncRNA from 1 species
CUAAUCGUGUAGUCGCCCUGACUGAAAGCCGUGCGAAGUCUAAGAGCGAGGUUUUCGCGACCAUCGUGUAAAAUCCUUGAUCUGUCCGAAGCUCAGCCUGUCGCUACCCUCGAGCUU